GUGAAUCAUCGAAUUUUUGAACGCAAAUUGCACUCCUUGGUAUUCCGGAGAGCAUGCCUGUUUGAGGGUCAGUAUAUAUACAAAUUGGAGUGGUUGUUGAUUUUAGUGGUGUUGCACCGGACUUGGGUGGUCUUGCCUUAGGUUAAGUGAUCUUAAAUUUUGCAUGAUUUUUUUCGAACGUAUUUAAAUGAUUUUACGUACGUUUGCGAUAUUGAAUCUCAGGUGGGGUCCUCU
rnacentral:misc_RNA from 1 species